AUAGCUAUUUUAAACUGAAGAGUUUGAUCCUGGCUCAGAUUGAACGCUGGCGGUAUGCUUAACACAUGCAAGUCGAACGGUAACAGGCGGAGCUUGCUCUGUGCUGACGAGUGGCGGACGGGUGCGUAACGCGUGGGAAUCUACCUUUUAGUGGGGGAUAGCCCGGUGAAAACCGGAUUAAUACCGCAUAAGCCCUACGGGGGAAAAGGGGCCUCUUCUUGAAAGCUAUCGCAUUGGGAUGAGUUUGCGUACCAUUAGCUAGUAGGUAGGGUAAUGGCCUACCUAGGCAACGAUGGUUAGCGGGUCUGAGAGGAUGAUCCGCCACACUGGAACUGAAACACGGACCAGACUCCUACGGGAGGCAGCAGUGAGGAAUAUUGCGCAAUGGGGGAAACCCUGACGCAGC
rnacentral:rRNA from 1 species